GGUGCCCAUUUUUUAUUCAAUCUUUUAUUCCAUAUAGUUUUUUCUCUAUCAUAUUAUUCAUAGUUUGCAUUAUAAUAUUUUGGAUUUAGGUUUUUUGGGUUUUUUACUCCUGAUGUACUAGGUUUUUCAUCCAUGUCUACGUUUCAUGUAUUUACUUCUAAACUCUUUGUAUUAUCCAUGUUUGCUAAAAGUUCCGUAUAUGUUUCACUUGUUUCUGAAUGUUGUUCAUCUAGAUCAUCGUCGUUUAUUUCAUCAAUUCUUAUUUCAAGUAGAUUACCUUCGUUAUUUUCUUCUUUUUCUUCUAAUU
rnacentral:lncRNA from 1 species